ACUUUCUUUCUUUCUACUCUCUCACAAGAUCACAAACCCUAACCUCAUUCAUCACCGUACCCGCCGCAUCGUCGUCUUCAGAUCCCUCGCCGCCGUCUCCAAACCGCAGAGGUAUAUCUCUCUCUCUUUAUCUCAAUUUCUAUCUUCUGUUCUUUCUACGUAUUUCGCGAUUUUAACCUAAUUACUUACACUUCAUUGAUUUCACUCUUUAUUCGCAUUACGCAAUUUUCGAUUAUCACGCAUUAAAACUGAAUCUUCUCUACUGGACUUUUUGUUAUUUUUGGUGUAUUUAUUUUUGGAUUUUUACAUUAUAUUUGGUUAAUGAAAGAAAGUAAACCGAAAGAUAGUAGAAGGAAAGAAAGAGUAGAAAAUGCAAUGAAAAUAAAGAAAAUGAGAUAAUAUAGCUGUGAAACGAGUUAAUUACUUUUUAAUAAAAUAUUUUAAUGUUUUAAAUUUCUAUAAAAUAAAUCUAACAUUUCAACAAUUAUUUUGUUGAAGAAAUAAUGUAAUUUAAAAUUUUCAUUUCUAGUGUCAUUUGCUAUUUGAUUAACUAAAUUAAUGUUAAAUAUUAAUUUAAUUUUCUUUUUUUUAAUAAAAUUAAUUUUAUUUUCAAUUGAACAAACUUUAUAAUUUAUAAACUUAAUUCCUUUUAUUUAUAUUGAAUUUUAUUUCCUUUUUUAUAGUGAAAAUUCAAUUUUUUUAUUUCAUAUUUUUUAUGCAUAUAUCUUUAAUUUUUUAUUUCAUAUUUUUGAAGCAUAAUGGGUUUACUGUGGUGGCGGAAGGGAAAGAAUUCUCAACCGGAAACGAAGUCGGAGAACACGAAGAUUGGUGGUGUAACGGCGGCGGGGAUGAACGGUGCGGUGGAAGUUCCUCGACCUCAAAACGCGAGUAUAUCCAUUUUCGAGUUUGGUUCGGUUGCUGCUUCUACUGAUAAGGUUACACUUGCUGGUUAUUNNNNNNNNNNNNNNNNNNNNNNNNNNAAAAAAAAAAAAACUAAAUUAAAAAUAUUAAUAAAACAUUUUGUUAAACUCACUUGAAUUGGUGUAUUGGUAUUGGUUGGGACCUGAGAGUGUAGUCCUCUUGAGGUAUGAGGUUCGAUUCUCUCUGGUGCCAAUUUGGGUGGGGUAAUUUAGCUUCUUAAAAAAAAACAUUUUGUUAAAAAAUAAAAGUUUAGUAAAAAAAAAACUGUUAAAUAAAAUAUUAUGCGCAAAAAUAUAUAAUAGUAAAUCUUACUCCUACCUGAGCUUAUAUACAAGUAUUUAGUAAAAAAACACCCAUGCUAUUUUAUAAGUUUUCACUAGUGAAAAUUAUAAUUUUAUAAUCUAUUUUAUCAUAAAUUACAUUGACAAACUUAUAAUAAUAUAUAAAAUUUGCAUAAGCUUUAAAAAAAGCUGAGCCAAACGAGUCCCUGAAAGGUUAAUAAGCUAAAAUAUUAUAGCUUAUUUACUAACUUAUAGCUUAUUUUUUAAAUACUAUUUCAAGUAGCUUAUAAGAUUAUAACUUAUAGCUUUAUCAUUUUUUCUUCCAAUUUUAUCCUUAUCAUCUUACUUAAAAAAAUUUAAAUAUUAAUUAAAUAUAUAUCUUUUAAGUCAUUUCAUAGGUACAAAUUAGUUCGACCGCUAAUUUUACAUCAAUAUAAGGUAUCUUUUACCGAGCCUUGCUAAAAUAAAAUAAAAUUGGUGUUACACAAAUUCAAGUUUCAACCAUUCACAUCACAUCACCCACACAGAUUGGUAAGGUUUUCGGUCUUUUCACUGUUUCUCUCUUUCUUUCACUCAUCUUUUCCGCUGGCGCUUAGUUUCUUUCUUUAUUUCUACUCUCACAAAGAUCACAAACCCUAACCUCAUUCAUCACCGUACCCGCCGCAUCGUCGUCUUCAGAUCCCUCGCCGCCGUCUCCAAACCGCAGAGGUAUAUCUCUCUCUCUUUAUCUCAAUUUCUAUCUUCUGUUCUUUCUACGUAUUUCGCGAUUUUAACCUAAUUACUUACACUUCAUUGAUUUCAC
rnacentral:lncRNA from 1 species